GCGCCCGUAGCUCAGCUGGAUAGAGCACCAGACUACGAAUCUGGGGGUCGCAAGUUCGAAUCUUGCCGGGCGCACCA
rnacentral:tRNA from 1 species